AGCGAACGCUGGCGGCAGGCCUAACACAUGCAAGUCGAACGAACCUUUCGGGGUUAGUGGCGGACGGGUGAGUAACACGUGGGAACGUGCCUUUAGGUUCGGAAUAACUCAGGGAAACUUGUGCUAAUACCGAAUGUGCCCUUCGGGGGAAAGAUUAAUCGCCUUUAGAGCGGCCCGCGUCUGAUUAGCUAGUUGGUUGAGGUAAUGGCUCACCAAGGCGACGAUCAGUAGCUGGUCUGAGAGGAUGAUCAGCCACAUUGGGACUGAGACACGGCCCAAACUCCUACGGGAGGCAGCAGUGGGGAAUCUUGCGCAAUGGGCGAAAGCCUGACGCAGCCAUGCCGCGUGAAUCAUGAAGGUCUUAGGAUUGUAAAAUUCUUUCACCGGGGACGAUAAUGACGGUACCCGGAGAAGAAGCCCCGGCUAACUUCGUG
rnacentral:rRNA from 1 species